UAAAACAACCCUACAGAUUAUAGGCUUCAGUAUAUAAAGUAUUUACCAAAAACUCAAUAUUUUUGUAGAAAAUUUCAAAAAAUAUGACAAUAUUGUUUUAAUGCCUAGUUGUAUCCUGCACUAACAUAUGAUAUUGUUUGAAGAGGUUUGGAGCCUUUGUCGUCUCCGUUUAUCAAGAAAAUAAUAAUUUUAUAGUGGUUAUUCCAUCGAUUUAGAGAAUAUUAUGAAGUUUUACUAAAUUAAUUGAUAAAAACAACUGAUUGAUGCUCAUUUACCAUGAAAAAGAGUUUAACAUACAUUAAUACAAAUGUAGAAUAUGGUUAAAAAUUUGAAAACAACACUAAAGAUUAUAGGCUUCAGUAUAUAAAGUAUUUACCAAAAACUCAAUAUAUUUGUAGGAGUUAAGCCCAUAGAUUUUGAGAAAAUUUCAAAAAAUAUGACAAAAUUGUUUUAAUGCCUAGUUGCAUCCUGCACUAACAUAUGAUGAUGUUCAAAGAGGUUUGGAGCCUUUGUGCUCUCCGUUUAUCAAGAAAAUAAUAAUUUUAUAAUGGUUAUUCAAUCGAUUUAGGGAGUAUUAUGAAAUUUUACUAAAUUAAUUGAUAAAAACAAUUGAACGAUGCUCAUUUACCAUGAAAAAGAGUUUAGCAUACAUUAAUACAAAUGUAGAAUAUGGUAGAAAUUUUAAAACAACACUAAAUAUUAUAGGCUUCAGUAUAUAAAGUAUUUACCAAAAACUCAAUAUUUUUGUAGGGGUUAGCCCAUAGAUUUUGAGAAAAUUUCAAAAAAUAUGACAAUAUUGUUUUUAUUCCUAGUUGCAUCCAGCACUAACAUAUGAUGAUGUUCAAAAAGGUUUGGAGCCUUUGUCGUCUCCGUUUAUCAAGAAAAUAAUAAUUUUAUAGUGGUUAUUCCAUUGAUUUAGGGAGUAUUAUGAAGUUAUAUUAAAUUAAUUGAUAAAAACAAUUGAACGAUGCUCAUUUACCAUGAAAAAGAGUUUAGCAUACAUUAAUACAAAUGUAGAAUAUGGUAAAAAUUUUAAAACAACACUAAAGAUUAUAGGCUUCAGUAUAUAAAGUAUUUACCAAAAACUCAAUAUUUUUGUAGGGCCCAUAGAUUUUGAGAAAAUUUCAAAAAAUAUGACAAUAUUGUUUUAAUGCCUAUUUGCAUCCUGCACUAACAUAUGAUGAUGUUCAAAGAGGUUUGGAGCCUUUGUGCUCUCCGUAUGUUCAAAGAGGUUUGGAGCCUUUGUGCUUUCCGUUUAUCAAGCAAAUAAUAAUUUUAUAGUGGUUAUUCCAUCGAUUUAGGGAGUAUUAUGAAGUUUUACUAAAUUAUUUGAUAAAAACAAUUGAAAGAUGCUCAUUUACCCUGAAAAAGAGUUUAGCAUACAUUAAUACAAAUGUAGAAUAUGGUAGAAAUUUUAAAACAACACUAAAUAUUAUAGGCUUCAGUAUAUAAAGUAUUUACCAAAAACUCAAUAUAUUUGUAGGGGUUAGCCCAUAUAUUUUGAGAAAAAUUUCAAAAAAUAUGACAAUAUUGUUUUAAUGCCUAGUUGCAUCCUGCACUAACAUAUGAUAAUGUUCAAAAAGGUUUGGAGCCUUUGUCGUCUCUGUUUAUCAAGAAAAUAAUAAUUUUAUAGUUGUUAUUCCAUCGAUUUAGGGAGUAUUAUGAAGUUUUACUAAAUUAAUUGAUAAAAACAAUUGAAAGAUGCUCAUUUAGCCUGAAAAAAAGUUUAGCAUACAUUAAUACAAAUGUAGAAUAUGGUAAAAAUUUUAAAACAACACUAAAGAUUAUAGGCUUCAGUAUAUAUAGUAUUUACCAAAAACUCAAUAUUUUUGUAGGGGUUAGCCCAUAUAUUUUGAGAAACAUUUCAAAAAAUAUGACAAUAUUUUUUUAAUGCCUAGUUGCAUCCUGCACUAACAUAUGAUGAUGUUCAAAG
rnacentral:lncRNA from 1 species